GAUGAACGCUGGCGGCGUGCCUAAUACAUGCAAGUAGAACGCUGAAGGAGGAUCUUGCUCUUCUGGAUGAGUUGCGAACGGGUGAGUAACGCGUAGGUAACCUGCCUGGUAGCGGGGGAUAACUAUUGGAAACGAUAGCUAAUACCGCAUGACAACAGUUAUUGCAUGAUAACUGUUUAAAAGGGGCAACUGCUCCACUACCAGAUGGACCUGCGUUGUAUUAGCUAGUUGGUGAGGUAACGGCUCACCAAGGCGACGAUACAUAGCCGACCUGAGAGGGUGAUCGGCCACACUGGGACUGAGACACGGCCCAGACUCCUACGGGAGGCAGCAGUAGGGAAUCUUCGGCAAUGGACGGAAGUCUGACCGAGCAACGCCGCGGGAGUGAAGAAGGGUUUCGGAUCGGAAAGAUCUGUUGUAAGAGAAGAACGAGUGUGAGAGUGGAAAGUUCACACUGUGACGGUAUCUUAACAGAAAGGGACGGCUAACUACGUG
rnacentral:rRNA from 1 species